UUGUUUUUAUUCAUUUUUGUCUCCUGUAACAAGAAAAGUUGGAUGAAAGUGAGAAAUAGUGAUUGCAAUGGAAAUGCAAAUGAACAAUUGUUAAGCUUUCUGCUUAAGUUAGUUUGAUAGAAAGUACUUGUGAUAGAUCAUUGAUGUUUAAUACAAAAUUGUAUUACUAUUGUUAGUUAUCAAUUUGACAACUAUUUUGAGACCCUGCCCACUCAGUCAUAUUCCAGUGACUUUGAACUAACUAGCAAUUUUCAAUGUUCAGUUUUCUUCUCAACUCAAUUGCAUAGGAACUACUUGUGAUAUAUCAAUGAUAUUUUCUAUAAAGUUGCAUAAAUAUCAGUACAUAUAUGAGUUUGACAACUAUUUUGACACCCUGCCCUGUCCUCUAGGUCAUGGUUUAAUGACUGAAUUACUUAACAAUUUUCAAUGUUCAGUUUUUGGUGAAGUUUGAAUGAUAGUAACUAUAGCUAUUUAUACAAUACACCAUUUUCUAUAAAGUUACAUUACUGUAUGUACAUUUCAGUUUGUCAACCAUUUCCAGGUCCUGUCCACUAGUUCAUGGUCCAGUGACUGAACUAAUAAGCAAAGUUGCUCUUCAUCAGAUUGUCUUUUUCUGAAUUUUAUGCAGAACCUUUUAUGUGUCAACAGUCUACUUAAUAUCAGUGCCAAAUUAAAUGAUGGUGAAAAGUCCCAUGACAAGUUUUAUCUUGUUUCAUAUUGUUUUUUCACAUAAUUAGCUUGUGAGGAAAGUUUAGUACAUUGUAUUCAAAUAUGAAAUAUAAGGAAAUACUAUCACAAUGGUUCAUGUUAACAUUAAGCACUGUCCAAUUUAAACAAAUAAUGCUACUUUAAAAAAAAAACAACUUGUUAUAUUCUGUAGUGUUGCAAAUUUUUAUAAUUGAUUUAUUUUCUCUUAUUUCAUGAUUAAGAACAACGAAAAAGAAAACAACUUUUGAAUGGUUUAUUUACAUUAGUAAAAUGUAUAUGAGACGACUCAUUGCUGCAAUUUUUUUUAAUUUAAAACUUUUAACAUUGUCUAUUGAAUAUGUUGUUUCUUUGUCUUUGUUCUUAGUUUUGAACUGAUUAUUAUUUUUGAUAUUUAAUUCUGAUGAAGGUUAUAGUGAAUAACAUGCAGCCAGAUUUAAGAGGACCCAAAUGUCAAUUUACAUGAUAUGAUUCAUAUCUGUUCUCUUUACUAAUUAUAUAUCUUUUAGAAUAGUCCGUAUAAGUAGUGUACUGGUGGUUUUGUCUUUGGUACCCAGUUCAUACCACCAAACUUACAUUGUAUUUAGAUUUUUACA
rnacentral:lncRNA from 1 species